rnacentral:misc_RNA from 1 species
UUUCCGUAGGUGAACCUGCGGAAGGAUCAUUCAUGAUAAGUGUUUUAUGGCACUUUUUUAAAUCCAUAUCCACCUUGUGUGCAAUGUCAGGGUUGAUUUUUCUCUCGAGAGGAUCAGCCCCAAACAUCAACUAUAUCUCAACUCUUUGUCUGAAAAAUAUAUGAAUAAAACAAUUCAAAAUACAACUUUCAACAACGGAUCUCUUGGCUCUC